AGAGCCCAGUAUACAGAGGAUAUAUAUAUAUACAGCACUGGCUGGAGACCUCAGUGUAAGGAUCUCUUCUCUUGUUCCCAUCCAAAACAAUCCUUCUCCUGAAUGACCGAUCAGUGAUGGACAAGGACAGGAAGGAGAUCACCAGAAGAAUAUUAGAUGUCACCUUGGAGAUCAUCUCCCUGCUGAGCGGAGAGGAUUACACCCUAGUGAAGAAGACAUCGGGGAGAACUCCCAUCAUCCAG